rnacentral:rRNA from 1 species
AGAGUUUGAUCCUGGCUCAGGACGAACGCUGGCGGCGCGCCUAACACAUGCAAGUCGAACGAGCGAGAGAGAGCUUGCUUUCUCGAGCGAGUGGCGAACGGGUGAGUAACGCGUGAGGAACCUGCCUCAAAGAGGGGGACAACAGUUGGAAACGACUGCUAAUACCGCAUAAGCCCACGACCCGGCAUCGGGUAGAGGGAAAAGGAGCAAUCCGCUUUGAGAUGGCCUCGCGUCCGAUUAGCUAGUUGGUGAGGUAACGGCCCACCAAGGCGACGAUCGGUAGCCGGACUGAGAGGUUGAACGGCCACAUUGGGACUGAGACACGGCCCAGACUCCUACGGGAGGCAGCAGUGGGGAAUAUUGCACAAUGGGGGAAACCCUGAUGCAGCGACGCCGCGUGGAGGAAGAAGGUCUUCGGAUUGUAAACUCCUGUUGUUGAGGAAGAUAAUGACGGUACUCAACAAGGAAGUGACGGCUAACUACGUGCCAGCAGCCGCGGUAAAACGUAGGUCACAAGCGUUGUCCGGAAUUACUGGGUGUAAAGGGAGCGCAGGCGGGAAGACAAGUUGGAAGUGAAAUCCAUGGGCUCAACCCAUGAACUGCUUUCAAAACUGUUUUUCUUGAGUAGUGCAGAGGUAGGCGGAAUUCCCGGUGUAGCGGUGGAAUGCGUAGAUAUCGGGAGGAACACCAGUGGCGAAGGCGGCCUACUGGGCACCAACUGACGCUGAGGCUCGAAAGUGUGGGUAGCAAACAGGAUUAGAUACCCUGGUAGUCCACACUGUAAACGAUGAUUACUAGGUGUUGGAGGAUUGACCCCUUCAGUGCCGCAGUUAACACAAUAAGUAAUCCACCUGGGGAGUACGACCGCAAGGUUGAAACUCAAAGGAAUUGACGGGGGCCCGCACAAGCAGUGGAGUAUGUGGUUUAAUUCGACGCAACGCGAAGAACCUUACCAAGUCUUGACAUCCUGCGACGCACAUAGAAAUAUGUGUUUCCUUCGGGACGCAGAGACAGGUGGUGCAUGGUUGUCGUCAGCUCGUGUCGUGAGAUGUUGGGUU